rnacentral:rRNA from 1 species
UACGGGGGGGGGCAAGCGUUGUUCGGAAUUACUGGGCGUAAAGGGCUCGUAGGCGGCCAACUAAGUCGGAUGUGAAAUCCCCAGGCUUAACCUGGGAACUGCAUCCGAUACUGGAUGGCUUGAAUCCGGGAGAGGGAUGCAGAAUUCCAGGUGUAGCGGUGAAAUGCGUAGAUAUCUGGAGGAACACCGGUGGCGAAGGCGGCUAUCUGGACAGAAACUGACGCUGAGGCGCGAAAGCUAGGGGAGCAAACAGG